ACAUGCGUACUUCACACUACUCCCAUAAUUAUACCUACAACCAUCUCUUACAAUUCUAAUCACUCAUAACUUUAUUUGAGUGGUCCGUUGUUACACACACCUACAAUAAAGCACACAAUGUUAGUUAAAACAUGCAACAUUAGUUAAAACAUGCAAGAUGAUCUCAACACACACAAGAUCUCUUGAAAAUCAAUCUGAAUCCUCUACUGCCUCCAAUGAUCACAAUGCGCAUUUGCAACAGUUGAAUGAUCAAAUUCAUGAACAAGAGCAGCAAUUAGCUAUUCUGCAUGCACAACAGCAACUCAACAAGUUGGAAGUGCAGAUUCAUGGAGAUACUCUUAUCAAGCCUCAAUUAACCCAGAAUACCACCACA
rnacentral:sRNA from 1 species